rnacentral:snRNA from 1 species
AUGGAUAUAUAGACCGAGGUCAAA